GAUGAACGCUGGCGGCGUGCCUAAUACAUGCAAGUCGAGCGAACAGACGAGGAGCUUGCUCCUCUGACGUUAGCGGCGGACGGGUGAGUAACACGUGGAUAACCUACCUAUAAGACUGGGAUAACUUCGGGAAACCGGAGCUAAUACCGGAUAAUAUAUUGAACCGCAUGGUUCAAUAGUGAAAGACGGUUUUGCUGUCACUUAUAGAUGGAUCCGCGCCGCAUUAGCUAGUUGGUAAGGUAACGGCUUACCAAGGCAACGAUGCAUAGCCGACCUGAGAGGGUGAUCGGCCACACUGGAACUGAGACACGGUCCAGACUCCUACGGGAGGCAGCAGUAGGGAAUCUUCCGCAAUGGGCGAAAGCCUGACGGAGCAACGCCGCGUGAGUGAUGAAGGUCUUCGGAUCGUAAAACUCUGUUAUUAGGGAAGAACAAAUGUGCAAGUAACUAUGCACGUCUUGACGGUACCUAAUCAGAAAGCCACGGCUAACUACGUG
rnacentral:rRNA from 1 species